rnacentral:rRNA from 1 species
UACGUAGGGGCCUAGCGUUGUCCGGAUUUAUUGGGCGUAAAGGGCGCGUAGGCGGUCCGAUAAGUCCCGUGUGAAAUCCCUCGGCUCAACUGAGGAAUGGCACGGGAAACUGCCGGGCUUGAGUUCGGGAGAGGGAAGCGGAAUUCCGGGUGUAGCGGUGAAAUGCGUAGAUAUCCGGAGGAACACCGGUGGCGAAGGCGGCUUCCUGGACCGACACUGACGCUGAGGCGCGAAAGCUAGGGGAGCAAACGGG